rnacentral:rRNA from 1 species
AACGAACGCUGGCGGCAUGCCUAACACAUGCAAGUCGAACGAUCCCUCCGGGUUUAGUGGCGCACGGGUGCGUAACGCGUGGGAACCUGCCCUUAGGUUCGGAAUAACUCCGAGAAAUUUGAGCUAAUACCGGAUAAUGUCUUCGGACCAAAGAUUUAUCGCCUUUGGAUGGGCCCGCGUUGGAUUAGCUAGUUGGUGGGGUAAAGGCCUACCAAGGCGACGAUCCUUAGCUGGUCUGAGAGGAUGAUCAGCCACACUGGGACUGAGACACGGCCCAGACUCCUACGGGAGGCAGCAGUGGGGAAUAUUGGACAAUGGGCGAAAGCCUGAUCCAGCAAUGCCGCGUGAGUGAUGAAGGCCUUGGGGUUGUAAAGCUCUUUUGCCCGGGAUGAUAGUGACGGUACCGGGAGAAUAAGCCCCGGCUAACUCCGUG